rnacentral:rRNA from 1 species
UGGGGAAUUUUGGACAAUGGGGGAAACCCUGAUCCAGCCAUCCCGCGUGUGCGAUGAAGGCCUUCGGGUUGUAAAGCACUUUUGGCAGGAAAGAAACGUCAUGGGUUAAUACCCCGUGAAACUGACGGUACCUGCAGAAUAAGCGCCGGCUAACUACGUGCCAGCAGCCGCGGUAAUACGUAGGGUGCAAGCGUUAAUCGGAAUUACUGGGCGUAAAGCGUGCGCAGGCGGUUCGGAAAGAAAGAUGUGAAAUCCCAGAGCUCAACUUUGGAACUGCAUUUUUAACUACCGGGCUAGAGUGUGUCAGAGGGAGGUGGAAUUCCGCGUGUAGCAGUGAAAUGCGUAGAUAUGCGGAGGAACACCGAUGGCGAAGGCAGCCUCCUGGGAUAACACUGACGCUCAUGCACGAAAGCGUGGGGAGCAAACAGG